ACGGCGUGCUCGUGGGCGGGACUUCCGCCGGGGUCAAGGGGAGCACUUCCGGUCUAUGGCUGAUAGCAUUUAGCAAGCAACCGAUGUCUUUGGUUGCAAAAAUAUGCUAAACAUCGCGCUAAUAAGCCACCGGACAAUAUCGUGAAUAAUCAUAGCACAUGUAGUAUCAAAAAUAGGCUGUUUAUUUACAGAAAAUAGCGACUAGAGGAACGAAAGCGUCGCUCCUCGCCCAGGCCAGCUGGACUCGGUGUCAGGUCCAAGGGGUCCAAAUGAGGAAAAGCGAGAGCCGUAAGAGGAUUGGAGGCACUGGCUGAUUAGGUUUAUGGCCCCCCGGAUGUCUGGUGCCCAAUUUGGAGAUCCACAGGAGCUCUGCCCUGUGACGUUGGGCGAGGCUCCAUUUAGGAUCCGUCUCUACGACAGUCACCCGGACGGAAGACCAUCCGUGCAGGAGGAAAUGCUGAACCAGGUGAGUGUUGGUAUUUUUUUGUCUAACAAUGUUGUAUUUGUGCUGGGCGAAUCUCCUGGCUAAGGUAUUGCCCGUCUCGCCCACGUACAUACACCCACAUUGCUGACAACGGAUGACAUACACACAGUUCUGUGUG